GAUAACAUAUUAAUAACCAUAAACUAUCAAUAUCGACAACUAACAUUUCAAUCUUUUUUAUUAAAAUGUCAUUUUGGAUGAUUUACGUUAAUUUUAUAGUUUAAGUAAAUGAAAUUAGUUAAAAGUAAAUGAACUUGUGGUGUGUCACGACAACAAAUUGUAUUCCUAUCAAAGCAAGUACUAUGUUUGAACCAACAAGUAUUAUGAUGAGGUUAAUUAUAUACCAUGGAUGAAGGUGUUUAAGCAGGUAUGUUUCUUGUCUGAAAUUGACUGACCCAGCUGUUCACACUUUUGUUCCUGGCCCUAGAGAUUCUCACUCUCUCAUUUUGUCUCAAAUUCCCUGGUAUUAUUUGUGGUGGAUGUGAAGGAGGUUCGAGCUGGGAUUUUACCCAGAUUUGUGUGAUCUGGGUAAAUCAUCAUUUGAUUAAUCGUUUAUUAAAGGGCAGAAUAUGUGCUGCAGCUCCUCGACCUGGCGUUACACGACAACUUAGGUAAGCAGUUUCUGGAUUUUCAUCAUGUCUGCAAUCUGGGUAACAGGUGAAACGAGCACAUGAAAUCCUCUAUUCAGGUAUACAGGUUAUGUUACUUCUUCUUACUGGUGCUAUAAGCAGAAAACUGCAGCAUCAGAAUGUUACUUCUUCUUGCGAUGUUUUAUUCCUCACGUCUUUGGAUAGUAUGAUACUGAGCUACCUCUAUAAAAAAAAAAAAAAAUGAUACUGAACUACUUAAAGAAAAAUACAGGAUCUGUUAACGAAAUGAUAUUGGCUUGAAUCCCUAACCCUUCCUUAAUAUAUGUUGUGACCAUAUUGUGGCUAUCAUGUAAGCGUAUGUAUUUAAGAUUUGUAAUCCGGUAUGCGUUGGAUACAGAGGCACUGCGGCUUCUCUCCUUGAAUGACAACGAAUAUUUGUUUUAACCCACCAUCAAUAAGUUCGUCUUGGGUGUGUCUUGUAUUAUCUUCGUCAUGCUAUCCUUUUCAACACCAUCUUGUUUUUUGUGCCAUGAACACGAUCUUUUAUGCAAUUUCAUUUAUGUUAAAAUGAACAAAUCCAAAAAAUGCAGUAGUGCAAAAUGCAAAAUGCAAAAUGCAAAAUGAAACAAUUUACGCUAUGAACUCUUUGAUAAAUGGAUAUGCUCAUUGUAUUUGCUAGUAAUUGAGUGGGAAUUAGGAAAGGGCUCAUAUGGUAGAGUGCUGUGGGGUGCUUUAAAAUGGGCGUGCAGCAGCAACAAAACUGGAUGCAAGCAUACAACCAGAUACGAAUUUUUAGCUCAGGUUUCUAUGGUUUCAAGGCUAAAACAUGAAAGUUUCGUUAAAUUGCUUGUUCUGAUGUCCUGCUACGCUGCUGUUUUGCUAUUUUGUUCUACUCGGUCUGUUCCUGCUGAUUUGCACCUUUUUGUUGUGUGAUAUGCUAUCUUUUCUGCGCAAUGUUGGUGCUUUUUUUGAAGACUGAAGGUGGCUGCAAAUCUGAAGAGGAGUUACAUGUAGCACACAUUGUUGUCAGUUUGUAUCAAAACUAAAUUAGAGCAAUGUAACUUGGUUUGCCUUUGGUAAUUUUUUAUUUUUAUUUGUGUGGUUUAUUGUAGUUUUUGGUUUGUAGGUACUGCAAGGCCUAGGGUCUUUUUAUUUGGUUGAUCUUGUACAAAUAUUGGUUUGUUUUGGAUAAUUAUAUUACUUAUUAAA